rnacentral:lncRNA from 1 species
GUCUUCCCGUGGCAGUGCGGGAGGUUCUGGGGCCAUGGGGGUCCGGCGCCGGCCAGGGCGGUACAGGAUGUACCACAGAGACCCACUCCCCAGCAUGCCAGGGGUCCCCCGAAGCAGCAGGCGUCAUGGAUACGAGAGCUGAGGGCUCGCUAGCUCGCAGCGCUCCGCCUGUCUUCCUCAUCGCGAGCAUUCUGGUGCCGGCAGUCAGCGUCUGGCGCUCUGCCGGGGCUCUGCGCCGAGGCCCGGCAGCACAGCACCGCGGGCCUCUCUCCUGAAGCCAGCUGCGCACUGCGUGCGGGGGCUUGUAGUUGCUUGUCUUCUCCCAUCAUCCUCCCCUUCCUCGGGGCCCCACCGGUGGAAACUGCUGCAUGUGUACUCGGAUCUCUGCCAUAGGGGAUUUUUUAGCUGAGACUUGGCACCCCUUUCCCGCUUACGUACCUGAAAACUCUUGGCACCCCCUGGUUUUUUUGUGCCCCAGCCAACUGUAGCUCAGCUUCCAAGAUGCCCUUACCUGGUGACAGAAGUCUGGGAUGCACGAAAGCGGAGCAGCUGGGCACAGUGGGCAUGCGCAACAUUAGAGGAAGGUGGGCUUUAUACCGGAAAAGGUUUUCCUGCGUCUGGACCAGAAGAUUUUUAAUACGAUUAUUUACAGCCACUUCAGACGAAAAACCAAGUGAUAUAAUACAAAAAUGCUCAGGAGGCGACAGGACUAACCACUUUUACACUUUGAUCUUUCCUUCUAGGCUGUACAUUAUUUUUUCAGUGUUAGCUGGUGAGUCAAAUUCAUUUUUUAAAACCCGGGACACAUGUUCCACGUGGCAAGGCUUCCAUAAAAACAUUUGGUGAACGAAUAAAGUAACAAAAACUUACAGUUCAGACUCUCAAAUUGCUAUCAUGUCUUUUGAAGGACCGGCAUACAUUAAGCUAAGGCUUCCCUCAGAAAAAAAAACAAAACAAACAACAAAAGAAAACAAAGCGUGAUCUCACGCUUUCUUCCAAGCGAAGGAAAAAAAAAAAAAAAAAAAA